CACUGUCCACGGUAACAGCGCAGCACUGCUUAUUAUUAUAUCAGCCUUGAAAAGGAUUUCGUUGGCUGAAAUAAUUGAGAGAGGUGGCCAGCAGCUCCGGUGGGACCCAGCGGCCUUCCUGCCGUCCUGCAGAAGAACGGGCCCUCUUUGUGAGCUGGUCGGGCAGAGGGUCCAGAUCGCGCGGAGGGGAGCAGAGGUAACACGUCCACAUCUGCGAAGCCCCAGCAACAAGCCCCCCCGUGUGCCUCCACAGGCAAGCGGGCCGGAGGUGCGCCCCCCGCUGGGUAACUGACCCAGAACUGGCUUCAUCGCAACCCACGGGUCACACCUGAGGGUCCAGCACGCGGCUGGUGUCACCACCCCUGAGAUUCAGCGCCCCCCUACCACAGGGCCGGCAUGGUGAGUUCCAGCGACCCUCGGGGUUACCACAAACACACGUGCAGGCAGCAGCCAGAAAUGCGAGAGGGUUAAUUCUGGAGAGGGUGACAGCUACCUGAUUUGAUAAUGGAUGAAGGGGUACCACCUGGAACAGUCCGAGCUCCUGGACAAUGUCGAGAAGAGCGCUGAGGAGGAGCUGAUCAUUGGAGGAGCUCUGGAAGCACCUUUUUCCAGGUUGGUUGAUUCAGCAUCAGCUGUUCCAUUUGUAGAGAGGUGUGUGUCAGUUGCUGCCUCGUUGACCUGAUAGACUUUUGCCUCCUCCACUGCGUAAACAUGUAAUUUAUCUUGUUUGCUUCCUUCCCCUUUUGUCUUAAGGGAGCAAUUAGAGAAAGUAUCCCCAAGAUGAGUUCACUUGCAGCUUUGCAUGUUAAUAUUUUGCCAUGUGGGUUAAGAUUGUG